UUGGUUUGCACGACUAGUCCACCGGUUUCCUGCUAUUUCUCACCAACAUGAAUACUGGGUAACUUAACCUACCAAGAAUUAAAUAAAUGGGAAGAGUUCACCUUCUGCGGCCUCCAUUGGGAUUCAAACCUUUGUUUGCAAGGUGCUUGAAAGCUUGGUUCUCAAUGGGUGUUGGAUUUAGUCUUGCCGUGUUGGCUGCAGUUACUAUGAUUCUUUUGUAUGAAAUCGGCCAGAUACUGUGUCUCUAUUAUAGCAACACUCAGAUG